AAUUAGAAAGCGAACAAUUGCUCUUAGUUUCGGCCUAAGGUUUGACCAAAUAGGUCUCUAAUUA
rnacentral:tRNA from 1 species